CCGCUUGUGAACCUGUACGCUAUUGACGACGAAGCACUGAGAGGCCUUCUACACAACCUGGACUGGUCCGAGGGGAUACGAUUUGAAUGUGUGGAACGACGUCUAGUGCCAGUUCUGUCAGAAGUGAUUCAACUCUACCGGGUACCCACAUUUCUCCACACUGACUGUACGUUAAUGAGGGUCACGCACGAUACACUGAAACUCAGGCCCAUUCCUGAGGGCUGUACCAUGUCCAGCCUAACGGCAGAUCAAGCUAGUCAGGUGAAUUCCA